rnacentral:lncRNA from 1 species
UCAAUAACCGAACACACACACUCUCCCUCUAUGUCAACAACAUCAGUCAUAAUGCUUAGGCAUCCUCAUGUUUACACUCUCAAAUCAUUUUUUGAAAUCAACAAGUGUGUGGAAACUACAUGACUAUGAGUUAUGAGUCUUUGUGCAUCAUUCAUAGGUGGAAGAAGAGGUCAUCUGAAAUCCGAGAGGAUCUCUGCAUAUUCCCAUGAGAGUUUUAAUUACAAAUUAAAUUAGUUUUUAUGGCUUCCCUAAGUGGGUCAAAUAUGGGGGAGAUAAGGUCUUAUCUGUCUUACCUUCCUGGUUGGAUGGAUCUUUUUGUAGGUAUAUGUGUGCGUAUAUGAGAGAUGACUCCUCAAUCCAUUUAACUUGAUGACAUUAUUUUAACAAAAUGAGGCUCAGGGCUAGAAUGGAAAGAUAUUCAUUGCAAAUAAUGAAUAUGCUGAUCACGCGAUUUAUUUGCGGAGCAGAGAUGAUGUUGCACUGACUGACUCAUUUCUUCUUCGACCACUAUCAAAUCCUAGCAGGCGUAAUAAGCAGACCUGUAUCGGCGUCGUCGACGACGUUCCUCGUCAAAAAAUGACGGCAUCGUCGCUACAUAGAAAAAUAAUCUCGGGGGAAGAAGGAUUUUUUCUUACAAAUGCUAUAUUACUUCCUUUAAAAACCCAAUUUGACCUGAUAGACGUAUAUCGUGGUGAAUUUAUAAAUGAUUGUGUGCUCUUUUUUAGAGUCAGCUAACAAGUGUAGAAAAAUACCCCUCAUUCUAAAGAGUUUGAACUGCAUCUCAUAUAUUUUUCCUUGACUCCAUGAUUCAAAAGACGAUAAGUAAUUCAGUCAGUCUUACUUGAUUUCAUGCCCGGUUGUGUAAUUAGUUUCAAAUAGACAUACAACUUAUAAUAUUAGAAAGAAAAAAAAAUACAGUGUACCCCUGGUUUGAUAAGAAAUUCCAAUUUCCUGAAUAGAUAGUGAAAAGAAGUCAAUUAUAUCCGGAUUGACAUGACUGAUAGUGAUAAGAGUGGAUACGAUAUCAAAUAGGCUAAACACUGUAGGGUAGCCUAGGGGCAGUUGCAUAAUGGGACAGAUUCAAAGGUCCCCCUUUUUACAACAUAAAAAAACUUCUGUCACAAAAUUGAAUAAUAAAAUACACAUUCUUGUUGGACAAAAAAAAACACAAUCAUAUUGAUCAGCUUUUUGAAAUAAAAACUGAUUUUAAAGGGGAAAAAGUAAAUUUUUUGGGAAAGUUUUUUUGUAGAACAUCACGUGAUUAUUCUUUCAUUGAUUUUUUGUAAUGUUCCAUAUUAAUUAAAGCAUUGUGGAUAUAUUUGAUAUAAUUUUAUCAUAAUUCAAAACUUAUUCAUUAA